rnacentral:rRNA from 1 species
UACCUGGGUAGUGGGGGACAACAUUCGGAAACGGAUGCUAAUACCGCAUACGCCCUACGGGGGAAAGAGGGGAUCUUCGGACCUUUCGCUAUCAGAUGAGCCUGCGUAGGAUUAGCUAGGUUGGUGGGGUAAAGGCCCACCAAGGCGACGAUCCUUAGCUGGUCUGAGAGGAUGACCAGCCACACUGGGACUGAGACACGGCCCAG